AACUCUAAAAUUGAGACUUAGAAUGGAUUUGGGAUUACUGUUAUAAACAAUAGAAGCUGAUUUAUUCAUAAAAAGGUUUUAACGGCUUAUAAUUAAAUUUGUCAGCAUCAGUUGAACUGUUCAGAAAUGAAUGAUGUACACUUAAUGUAUCCAGAUUUGCUUUCGUUUAGGUGAUGUACUUAGGUGUCUUUAUUGUUAAUGCAAACUAGCAAAUGUCUUUAAAGCACAAGUAGUUCAGAACCUUGUCCUGUCCUGUUAUUUCAAUGAGGUUAAAAUAUUUCUGCUGCUUCGAGUUGCUGCUUUUUAUUGUGUUGCGGAGGAUGUUGAACUCUGACAUAACUAGAAUAGUAUUUGCAUGUCCUAUUGUAAGUUUAAGUGUAGUGUUAUAAAUGAAAUAACAUGAAUAUCUCCUCCUUCCUUAACUUUUUACUUUUGAGUAAAACAGAGAAUCUAGUCAAAUGCAUUCUUCCUUCCCCCAUGUUAUUUUCCUCACUUUAGCUAAUUAUUUGCAACUGUCACAAAACGACAACUUGGCAAGUGUGAGGUAUUUUGUCAGCAAGGCUUUCCUUAAAAAGAAAAAAAAAUCACAAUUCACUGUUGCAUGUAGUUCUCGAGCCAGUUCAAGUUGUGUUACUGAUCCAGUCUGCCUGGGGAAGUGUAAAAAAAAAAAAAAUCGGUUCUCAAAAGGAGGCUGUUUUUGAUUCAUGAUACUUGUUCUUACCUGUGCAAGUUAGAAACUGUUUUUAAAUGCAGAUUUUUAUCUGAGCUUUGUAUUGGGAUCUAUCUGUUCCAGCCUUUAAAGUGAACACCUGUUUAUAAAUUGCAUAUGUAAAUUGGAUUGUUGACCAGUUAAGUUGGAAACUAGAUACAAACUAAUAGUCUACUUUGAACUGUUAUCACAGAACAAACUGAUUUUUUUUAAAUUACUGUUUAAACAUCCAUUUUAAAAUGCUUUCCAUCCCACUACAAGUCCUAAUAUGCUUCUGAGUGCAAAGUUAGUCAUAAGUUAAGAAAGGCCAACACUAAGUUUUCUAAUACAGUUUUAAUUUGGCUUUAUUGUGCAUUUUGAGCCCGAAUUUCAUGGCUCUGUCACUUAGUUUUCCCUUACAAAAUCCCCUUUCCACCCCAUACUCAGAUAACAGGGGGCAUGUAUAUUGAGUGGCAAUUUGAUGUUUUCUUCUCAUUGCACAGAGCUUAUUUUUCUGCACUCAGAUUAUACUUUAAAGGCUGUUUUUUCUCCUGUAUUGCUGCUUCCUCACUAGUGUAACUGGGAACUUUCUAAGCAGUAAUGAACUUGGUUUCAUAUUACCUCUGUAAAGUGAGGAAGAAUUACUGUUAUUUUGCAAAACUAAGGUACAAAAUGUAGGUGCUGAAAAUGAGAACCUAGAAACGCUUUCUUCAACGUAGGUGAUAUUCUGUAAUGCUUCAUAUGUUUAAAACACAGUUGCUAUUUUAGAUGCGUCUCAGACGUUCUCUUGAUUUGCAACUCCAGUUGAUUGGACUAGGAUGUAUUGAGUUUGGCAGCCGGAAAAUAAGAAUUCCAGAAAUGAGGCAGCAUCAGGUGAUGGCAUCAUAUCACAUUUCCUGAUGUGUCACCAAAGUAUGUAUAGUCUGUACUGAAGCAGGGAUCCUGGGAGAGACAAACAUGUGGUCAUAUCACUAAUACAUCAUAAAGCAUAUAUGAGACAAAGGUAAAAAUGAGGCUGCAUCAGCAGGAAGUGCUGGCAUUAAGACUUGUAUGUGCUAGACUUUGCAGCUUUGAAAUGUACUUUUAAUAGAUAGUGUGGUCUUCUAAGACUUUAAAAAAAAAAACAAAA